GUAGGUGAACCUGCGGAGGGAUCAUUACCGAGCGAGGGCCCCCCGGGCCCGACCUCCCACCCCAUGUUAUCCGACCCAGUUGCCUCGGGGGCGACCCGGCCUUCGGGCGUCGGGGCCCCCGGCGGACCGCACAACGCUGCAUCUCUGCGUCCGAGUCACGAUUGAAUCAAUCAAAACUUUCAACAACGGAUCUCUUGGUUCUGGCAUCGAUGAAGAACGCAGCAUCUGACUGACUUGGGAUGCAUGCAUC
rnacentral:misc_RNA from 1 species